rnacentral:rRNA from 1 species
AUUGAACGCUGGCGGCAUGCUUUACACAUGCAAGUCGAACGGUAACAGGCCGCAAGGUGCUGACGAGUGGCGAACGGGUGAGUAAUGCAUCGGAACGUGCCCAGUCGUGGGGGAUAACGCAGCGAAAGCUGUGCUAAUACCGCAUACGAUCUAUGGAUGAAAGCGGGGGACCGUAAGGCCUCGCGCGAUUGGAGCGGCCGAUGUCAGAUUAGGUAGUUGGUGGGGUAAAGGCUCACCAAGCCAACGAUCUGUAGCUGGUCUGAGAGGACGACCAGCCACACUGGGACUGAGACACGGCCCAGACUCCUACGGGAGGCAGCAGUGGGGAAUUUUGGACAAUGGGCGCAAGCCUGAUCCAGCAAUGCCGCGUGCAGGAUGAAGGCCUUCGGGUUGUAAACUGCUUUUGUACGGAGCGAAAAGGCUCUCUCUAAUACAGGGGGCUCAUGACGGUACCGUAAGAAUAAGCACCGGCUAACUACGUGCCAGCCGCCGCCGUAA